rnacentral:rRNA from 1 species
UACGUAGGGUGCAAGCGUUAAUCGGAAUUACUGGGCGUAAAGCGUGCGCAGGCGGCUAUGCAAGACAGAUGUGAAAUCCCCGGGCUCAACCUGGGAACUGCAUCUGUGACUGCAUAGCUAGAGUACGGUAGAGGGGGGAUGGAAUUCCGCGUGUAGCAGUGAAAUGCGUAGAUAUGCGGAGGAACACCGAUGGCGAAGGCAAUCCCCUGGACCUGUACUGACGCUCAUGCACGAAAAGCGUGGGGGAGCAAACAGG